rnacentral:rRNA from 1 species
UACGUAGGGUGCGAGCGUUGCCCGGAUUUAUUGGGCGUAAAGGGCGCGUAGGCGGUCACGCACGUUCGUUGUGAAAUCGCUCGGCUCAACUGGGCGGGGUCAGCGGAUACGGCGUGGCUGGAGCAAGCUAGGGGGCAAUGGAAUUCCCGGUGUAGUGGUGGAAUGCGUAGAUAUCGGGAGGAACACCAGUGGCGAAGGCGGUUGCCUGGAGCUUUGCUGACGCUGAUGCGCGAAAGCGUGGGGAGCGAUCCGG